rnacentral:tRNA from 5 species
GGCCAGAUAGCUCAGUAGGUAGAGCAGCGGACUGAAAAUCCGCGUGUCGGUGGUUCGAUUCCACCUCUGGCCACCA